rnacentral:rRNA from 1 species
AGUGAACGCUGGCGGUAGGCCUAACACAUGCCAGUCGAACGGCAGCACAGUAAGAGCUUGCUCUUACGGGUGGCGAAUGGCGGACGGGUGAGGAAUACAUCGGAAUCUACUUUUUCGUGGGGGAUAACGUAGGGAAACUUACGCUAAUACCGCAUACGACCUACGGGUGAAAGCAGGGGAUCUUCGGACCUUGCGCGAUUGAAUGAGCCGAUGUCGGAUUAGCUAGUUGGCGGGGUAAAGGCCCACCAAGGCGACGAUCCGUAGCUGGUCUGAGAGGAUGAUCAGCCACACUGGAACUGAGACACGGUCCAGACUCCUACGGGAGGCAGCAGUGGGGAAUAUUGGACAAUGGGCGCAAGCCUGAUCCAGCCAUACCGCGUGGGUGAAGAAGGCCUUCGGGUUGUAAAGCCCUUUUGUUGGGAAAGAAAAGCAGCAGGUUAAUACCCCGCUGUUCUGACGGUACCCAAAGAAUAAGCACCGGCUAACUUCGUG